rnacentral:rRNA from 1 species
AAAAGCUUUCUUUAAUUGAAUAAUUGAAUUUAAUUUUUUAGUGCAAAAGCAAAAAUAAAAAUUAGGGACAAGAAGACCCUAUGAAUUUUUUAUUAAAUUUUAUAAAACUUUAUAUAAAAUUUAAUUUAAUUGGGGUGAUGAAAAAAGAAUAAAUAUCUUUUUUUUUUAAAAAAAUUGGUUCCGUUUUUAGCGAUUAAAUGAAAAAAAUACUCUAGGGAUAACAGCGUAAUAAUUUUGGAUAGUUCAUAUAGAUAAAAUAGUUUGCGACCUCGAUGUUGGAUUAGGAUUCUUUUUUGGUGAAGAAGUUAAAAAAAGAAGUUUGUUCAACUUAUAAUUUCCUACUUGAUCUGAGUUCAGACCGG